AUAGUGUGCACAGGUGUCGUAUGAGCUUCCAGGCAGAAGGAACAAGGUGAAAUGACAGAAGGAAGGAGCACGCCCGGCUGUUUUGAGGACAGUCACGGAUCCUGUUGUGAUUGAAACAAAGUGUGCAAGGGGGAGAGUCAAAAGUGAGGGUAGAGAGGUCCUGGGGACGGGAACAGGCUUCCUGGCCAUUGUGAGGACUUUGGCUUUUACUCUGGGUGACAUGAAGAACCAGCAGAGGGUUUUGAGCAGAAGAGAGAUGUCAUGUGAAUUACUCUGGCUGCUGUGCUGCAAAUAGACAGAAGGCCUCAACAUAGAAGCCGGGAGGCUGGUUACGAGACUCUGAAGGUUCCCAAUCCUAUAAUUCUGAAAGAAAAAAAAUCAUUGAGAGGACACCACAUACCAUCCAAUACACAGCCAUGAACAUGUGGAGCCAAACAAUUGUGGUCUCUUUGGUAAUUAAACUUUCCGCGCUUCAAAUCAUUGCAAGAACAAGUGUUUCUUCUCCCCAUCUGAACUGUGAAUUUUUUUCUCCAUGUUUGCCAGUUUUGCUGACUCCGCAUGGAAAUAUCCUUUUUCC
rnacentral:lncRNA from 1 species